rnacentral:rRNA from 1 species
AGGCAGCAGUGAGGAAUAUUGGUCAAUGGACGAGAGUCUGAACCAGCCAAGUAGCGUGAAGGAUGACUGCCCUAUGGGUUGUAAACUUCUUUUAUAUGGGAAUAAAAUGUUCCACGUGUGGGAUUUUGUAUGUACCAUAUGAAUAAGGAUCGGCUAACUCCGUGCC